GGGUAAUAAAUGAUGAUAAAUCACUUAAGAAAGGUUAAAAAGAGAGAAAAAAUUCAUUUGGGAAGUGACACAAAAGUAGCACUGGAUCUUUAUGGGUUAAGGAAGUUCCAUGUUUAAGUCAUUGUUUUAGUUUUCAUACUACGAGCACAGCUUCUCUUCAAAAAAAAAAAAAAAAAAUGCUGGGAGGCUGAUGUAAGAUAAGAAAAGAUAUGACUUUAUUUACCCCACUGUGGGGAAAUUUCACAGCUAACAUAUGUAGCAACAUACAAACUAGCAAGUGCAGAGAAAAAGACAAACAACAAAUGAGUGAAAAAUGGAAUAUAAAGAGAAAAAUAAGAAAUCUGGUGUUUAUAUAAAUAUGUAUAUAAAUUUAGAAUUAAAAUUAAAUCUUUACGUAUUUUACAUGGAAAUGUACAAGUUCUCGGCACUAAUACUGUGUAGUUACAUUAAGAGACUGGAGUAUCAACAAUUAAACCAAUGCAGAUGACAUUCAGAAUCAGUUACAUGAGUUACAAUGUGGUCUAAAUCAUACAAAAAUGCAAACCAGGGCACACCUCACACAUAACAUGUUAUAGCAGCAACAAGUAGAUUUACAAGUAUCAAACACUCAAUCUGUAAAGUUCACAUUUAAAACGGUCCAAGUAGUGAAACUACCAACCAACUUUCACAAAUCGUGUUUAUUCUCUUUAACGUUUUUUUAUGUUCUGUAUUUAUAGUUCCUCGUCUUCUCUUUUGUUUUGUUUAUUCUGUGUUAAAAAUACCAAAUAGUUUGUCCCACUAUGACCCAAAAUGGACACUCGGUCCCAAACAUCCACCAUGCUGAAUACCAAAUGCUUUUUCCACCCAUAAUCCCUCAUCGUGUUGGUGUCUGUUGGUUUAACUUGGAGCACACUGUGGCAGGACACUUAUUUCAGAGAAUGGAAGCAGUAUUAUGACUUUAUGUACAGUAUCGAACAGUCAUCUUCCUCGGGUUUUUGCAGAAUGUAUUUUUGUUUUUGAUUUGCAGUCCCUGUACUUGUGAAGCUUUGUCUGUACAUUUUGUCACCUGACUGUUUUUUUUUUUGUUCUUUUAUGGAUUGUUUUAUGCCCUUAUUUGUAUUUAUGUUAUUUGUUUUUUUCUUUUGCGCUGCGUGCCAAACGUACUGUAUUUUAAAAGGAUGUGAAGGUGUCAUUUUUGAAACCAAUUAAAUAUCAUGAUGUCAGAAAGA